GACAGCAUCUACCCAAAUUCAAUGGUAACUACUAUAAUGGUUACUUAUAAACUAUCAAUCAAUCAAUCAGUUCCUGAUAACUAAUCUUUUCUUGAGUUCGUUGCCCUCGGAUGAGGGUAACCUACUGUAUAGUGGGAAUAUUCCUGCUCAUUUACUUUCUUCUUUAGCAUAUCUUUUCCCAUGCCUAACUAAAUAAUAUUCUUCUGUCCCUCCCUCGAUCCCAUUCCUAACGGUUGAAGCUCAAAACCAGAUAAAAAAAGAUACUGGUGCAACCAUUGACUGAUAGUUUAUUGUUGCAAGUAAAACAACAAAGGAGAAGGGAGGAGCAUGCCAUCCCAACCCCCACGCAGUGCAGUGUGUGAUUAUACAACUAAGGAUACAUGUGCUGGAUAACCUCUGUGACCAAGACCAAAGGGAGAAUGGGACAGAAGCAGCUUUUUGAAGUGUUCAUGAUGUGGAAUUUUUAUAUAUUUUUUUUAUUUAAAGGUUUACAAUUGAUAUUAUCAGGAUCUAAUGCUUUUACAACACAUCAAGUGGGUGCUUAGUCUGUCUCCUUAAUACUGGCCCUGAAACAAUCUCCAUUCAGGGGGAAUGAGUCACCUUGGUCUCAAAGGUAUGUGAAAAUAUUCUCAUAUAAACCAUAGCCAGCCAAACUGGAUUAAAAAAAAAAUAUUUACACAGCUGAACGUGAAGAAGUCAAUCACAAUGGCACAGAAAAUAUAUAAAUAAUGUUUCAUGAAGUGUGUAAUCAAUCACAGAGUCUCUCCUGAAUAAAACCUAGUAUUUCCAGCUCUCCAAAGAAAAUGAGGUGAAAACAUUUAAUAUGUAGUCAUAGUCAUAACUGCUUGGGAUAAACUUGAUUGCCAAUAAGUUCAUAAUAAUAUUUUUUUAUAAGACUUUGGAAAACCUGCACAGUAUAUAUAGAUCAUUACUUUGUUUCAAGAAAAUUCCACUUCAUUCACACAAUUUUUUCAAAUGUUACAAGGCUGUAGGCAGCAAAAAAAAAAUUAUAAGCCCAAAAUUGUGAAUCAUAUAGAUAUUGUUUAUGCUAUGGCCUGAAAAUAUAUUGAUUUUAUGAUAUAUCCAAAUAAAAAAAAAUCAUAAAUAUUAUUUCUUCUAUGAAUUAUUUACAUGUAAAACCAGGCAGAUCUAACCCCAGCAUUUACUUUUGUAUUUUAUGAAUCUCAAUGACUAGCUUAGUUUUACAAAAAAGUUGUGUAUGCUCUUGCACAGUACUGGAACCAAAGAAAAUUCCACCAUUAAUGAGCCAUUAGAGGAAGUAAAAAAUGUAUUAAGA